UUCCUACGGGGGGCAGCAGUGGGGAAUAUUGCACAAUGGGGGAAACCCUGAUGCAGCGACGCCGCGUGAGUGAAGAAGUAUCUCGGUAUGUAAAGCUCUAUCAGCAGGAAAGAUAAUGACGGUACCUGACUAAGAAGCCCCGGCUAACUACGUGCCAGCAGCCGCGGUAAUACGUAGGAUGCGAGCGUUAUCCGGAUUUAUUGGGUUUAAAGGGUGCGCAGGCGGCACGGCAAGCCGGCGGUCAAAUCGCGGGGCUCAACCCCGCCCAGCCGUCGGAACUGCCGGGCUAGAGUGGGCGAGAAGUG
rnacentral:rRNA from 1 species